rnacentral:rRNA from 1 species
UAGGGAAUCUUCGGCAAUGGGGGCAACCCUGACCGAGCAACGCCGCGUGAGUGAAGAAGGUUUUCGGAUCGUAAAGCUCUGUUGUAAGAGAAGAACGUGUGUGAGAGUGGAAAGUUCACACAGUGACGGUAACUUACCAGAAAGGGACGGCUAACUACGUGCCAGCAGCCGCGGUAAUACGUAGGUCCCGAGCGUUGUCCGGAUUUAUUGGGCGUAAAGCGAGCGCAGGCGGUUUAAUAAGUCGGAAGUUAAAGGCAGUGGCUUAACCAGUGUUCGCUUUGGAAACUGUUAAACUUGAGUGCAGAAGGGGAGAGUGGAAUUCCAUGUGUAGCGGUGAAAUGCGUAGAUAUAUGGAGGAACGCCGGUGGCGAAAGCGGCUCUCUGGUCUGUAACUGACGCUGAGGCUCGAAAGCGUGGGGAGCAAACAGG